CUUCACUUUACUUCGUUACCGAGAAUAAAACCUGGGCUGAAGCACAGAGAUACUGCAGAUAGAAUAAUUUUGAUUUAAUUACUAUUAAAACUGGCUCUUCCUAAAAAAGUAGACAUUGGGAGCGGUGGGCAAACCUGGAUUGGACUGUAUGAUGAUCUGAACAGUUGGAAAUGGAUGAUGAUUCUUUCUACAAGGAGGGAGAGAGAAGCUUUAGAAACUGGUAUAUAGAAAAACCAAGGAACUGCUAAUGAUGCAGUGUACAAAAACCCGUCUUCCAACAUAUUUUCAAGCCCUUAACACGUGUCAUCAGCAUCACAAUUGUUAUUUACCCUGGAUGAACUCAAGUCAGAUAUUAAAAACAGAAAGAGACAGAAAGAGACAUCCAUGAAAUAAGUAACUUACAAAGUUUAUCAAUCUUUCCAUAUAUUGGAGCAGAGCCAUGUUUCAACUUCUGCUGCUCUUUGGGGUUUUCAACAUUGGCAUCUGUCUGCCUCGUCAGUAUCACUUCAUUACCGAGAAUAAGACCUGGAGUGAAGCACAGAGAUACUGCAGAGAGAAUUAUGUUGAUUUAGUUACAAUUAAUAAUGCUGAAGAGGAACUGGCUCUUACUAAAUUAGUAGACAACUGGAGCAGUGGCCAAACCUGGAUUGGACUGUAUGAUGAUCUGAACAGCUGGAAAUGGUCUCUGGAUGAUGAUUCUUUCUACAAGAAGGGAGAGAGAAGCUUUAGAAACUGGUAUAUACAAAAACCGAGGAACUCAAAUGGAAACAGUAUGUGUGUAUACUUUUAUGGUUAUGAUUCAGCAUGGCAGGAGGCCUCUUGUUCAUCAACACAAUUUUUCAUUUGCUUUGAUGGUGAGUACAGCAAUUAUGUUUAUUCUAAAAGAAAAUGUAUUCAAGUUUAACAUAUUUUAAACAUUUACAUAUUAAACUGUCUGUUUUAGGUAGGGCGAAUGCGAAUGAGAGUUAUGUGGUGAUUUAUCAGUACAAGACCUGGACAGAAGCUCAGACAUACUGCAGAGAGCAUUACACAGACCUGAUCAGUGUGAGGAACGAGUCUGAAAACAAUAAGAUCAGAUCAUUAUUGUAUUCUCAUAAUAAUUAUUAUAGUGGUUUUUGGAUCGGCCUGUACAGAACCAGGUCUUGGUCAGAUAAAAGCAACUCUUCCUUCAACUACUGGAAACCUGGACAACCAGAUAAUUAUGCACAGAAUGAAUUCUGUACUGCUGUGGCAUUCAACAACGAUGUUUAUUAUUAUUAUUAUUAUAAUUAUUAUUAUCAGUCCAGUUAUGGGAAAUGGACAGAUGAAGACUGUGGCAAAACUUUACCAUUCCUCUGUUACAGUACAAUGUCAUCAACAUCCCCUCAUCAGUAUCACUUCAUUAAUGAGAAUAAAACCUGGACAGAAGCACAGAUAUACUGCAGAGAGAAUUACACUGAUCUGGCAACCAUUGAUAACAUGGAGGAAAUGAACACACUUCUUAACACAGUAAAUGGCAGCUACUCAGGUUUAGCCUGGAUUGGACUGUAUGAUGAUCUGGAAAGCUGGAGAUGGUCUCUGGAUAAUGAUACUUUCUACCUGGAGGGAGAGAGU